rnacentral:rRNA from 1 species
UACGUAGGGUGCAAGCGUUAAUCGGAAUUACUGGGCGUAAAGCGUGCGCAGGCGGUUUUGUAAGUCUGUCGUGAAAGCCCCGGGCUCAACCUGGGAAUUGCGAUGGAGACUGCAAGGCUUGAAUCUGGCAGAGGGGGGGGUAGAAUUCCACGUGUAGCAGUGAAAUGCGUAGAGAUGUGGAGGAACACCGAUGGCGAAGGCAGCCCCCUGGGUCAAGAUUGACGCUCAUGCACGAAAGCGUGGGAGCAAACAGG